rnacentral:rRNA from 1 species
GACGAACGCUGGCGGCGUGCCUAACACAUGCAAGUCGAACGGGGAGUUAGCAAUAACUCCUAGUGGCGAGCGGGUGAGUAACGCGUAGACAACCUGCCUCUAAACUGGGGACAACACCGCGAAAGUGGUGCUAAUACCGAAUGUGGUAACUUGAUCGCAUGAUCGAGUUAAGAAAGAUGGCCUCUAUUUAUAAGCUAUCGUUUAGAGAUGGGUCUGCGUCUGAUUAGCUAGUUGGUGAGGUAAUGGCUCACCAAGGCGACGAUCAGUAGCCGGUCUGAGAGGAUGAACGGCCACACUGGGACUGAGACACGGCCCAGACUCCUACUGGAGGCAGCAGUGGGGAAUCUUCCGCAAUGGACGAAAGUCUGACGGAGCAACGCCGCGUGAGUGAAGAAGGUCUUCGGAUUGUAAAGCUCUGUCGUUUGGGACGAACGUGGGUAGUGUGAAUAAUGCUAUCUAAUGACGGUACCAAAGGAGGAAGCCACGGCUAACUACGUGCCAGCAGCCGCAGUAA